ensembl:lncRNA
UGCACUGUUUCCAUUGCUACUAUUUUUCAAGUCAAUCAAAUAAGGAUUCAUUAAUCAUUUAUUAUGUGUAAGAAGCCAAGGUCAUCCACUGCAUUUGAGCCAUCACCAGUUGCCUUGACUUUUUCUUGCCACUGGACUUCUAUGGCUCUGGAGGAGAGAGUGAGGGCUCUAACUUUGUCCAACUCUGCCUCAAUUAAACCCAGUUUAUGCUCUAGUCAAAAGACAUCACUGGUGAUGCCAUUUUGGUCCUCUUUGAGUACAACUAACCAACCUACCAGUCAUGUGCAAGGUUUUCGGAACACUUUGCUACUAAAACCCAGUGAAGUGAAUAGUACACGGUUUGUUACCCCUAUUUUGCAGACAAGGGGAUUGGAGUUCAAAGAGCAAAGGGAUUUUUUUCCAUGGACACACAGCUUAGUGAAUGUGGAAAUGGGGAGUCAUGUCAACUGCCAAAGGACAAUCUUCCUAUCACCUUCUGUACACACUGCGGAACUAGGAAAAUGAUAAUCCAGCCCCCAAACCCCCACAAUACCAUGGCAACGGCAGCUCCAUAACAACAGGAGAAGCAGCCAAAGUGGUAGUUGCCAACCCAGGAUGCCUCCCAUCUGCAGAGGACAAACCCACCAAAGGGCUCCGAUUUUGAGAGCGGGUGUUAGCCGAGCGCCCUCAUAUUCUAGAGGUGACAUUUAAAGAGCAUCAGCAUGCAUUUUCCUGCCUCAUUUGGGACCAAAUGCCCAAACUUAAGAGCAGAGACCAGUAACCUAGGAUUUGAUUCAAAGCCUGAGCAUUUAAUAGCAGAAAAAAUACAGCAUAGAAUAGGUCAGACCUAAUCCACCAGCAGGGUGGUAGAACAGUAUCAUCUGGAUGGAAAAUAGUUCCCUUUGUUUAGCAAUCCUUUUCAAUAGAAUGGGCUGUCUCUAGCGUCUAUUAGAUUGCAGGAGUAUUUGGGAUAUUCAGGGAAGACUGGCAGCGCCUGCAAUGUGAGGGAUUGUUAAGACCUUUACAGGGCUGCCCACCCACCUUUGGUGCUUGCCUUUCAUCCAACUCUCACCUCUGAUUCCAAGAAGCUAGAGCAGGUACAGAGGCUACACCCCAGUAAAACCAUCUGAGUUAAACCAGGUUGAGAGUUACCCAAAGGACUUUGGCUAAAUUAUGGAGAUGCCCACUCAAGCAUGUGAGGACCUUCCCCAACCAAUGGGCAGAUGAGAACAAUUUGUUCCAAUGGCCAUGAAGGCAGUUGAAGCAGGCAUGGUGGAACCCUUAGAAGUGGGGCAGACAUUCAAGAUUCAAAGCCCUCCACCAUAUCCAUGACUAUCUAGUCAUCCUGACUUUUGGUUUGCCACUGGACUUCAAUGACUCUGGAAGAGGGAGAGAGGCUGAUGACUUUGUGAAACUGUCUCACUUCAGUCUCAUUUAUCCACAAAUCAACCCUCUGAUGUCAAUAGUCAUCUUUGGGAAUGAAGGAUGAACAACAAUUAGACUGUAAGCUCCAUGAGGUCAGGUCUCAGAUUUAAUCUAAGGUUUUUUUAAUCUUCUGAGUCCUUUCUACACAAUAUCUGACCUUCAACCUUCAUGUUCUCCUCAAUUCCUUACCCUUACUCACUUCACCUCUCUAAUCACUUGCCAAGUCUUGUCAUUUUUCUACCCAUACAUCAUCUCUCCAUUAUGUCCCCUUCUCUCCACUCACACAGUCACAACCUUGGCUCAUACUUUUAUCAUCCUUCACCUGGACUAGAAGAAGGGAAGGGAAUAGAUAUUUAUAGAAUGUCUGCUAUGUGUUAAGCACCAUGCACUUUACAAAUAGUAUUUUGCCAUUUUGACUAUUGCAAAAGCUUUUCUUAUUACUGGUCUUCCUACUUUGGGUUUCUCCCCUAUUUUAAUCCAUCCUCCACUCAGCUGCCAGAAUGACUUUUCUACAUUCUAGAUCUGACCAUGUCACCCCCCCCCCACUUAAUGAGCUCUAGUGAUUCCCUAUUAGGAUCAAAUGUUCAGUCCCCUAUACUUGGCAUGAAAUAACAUUAAGUAGCCCUUCCCUACUUUCUAGCUUCUUUAUACCUUACUUUGUUCCACAAACUCUACAAUCCAGCAAGGUUGGCCUACAAGGUCCUGUGUGUGGCUUUGUGCUGGCUCUCCCCCAUCUCUGGAAUGCUCUGCCUUCCCAUUUCCAAACUCCUAUUUUUCCCUUGUUUCCUUCAUGACUCAAUUAAAAUCCGAUCUUUUGUAGGAGGUCUUUCCCAGCUGCUAGUGUCUCCCCUGUCUGAUUACUUUCAUUACUCAUAUUUUACAGGUACUUUAUUAUUUAUAUGUUGUCUUCCCCAUUAGAAUGUAAGCUCCUUUUUCUUGUCUUUGUAUUGCUAGCCUUUAGUAUAGUGUCUUACACUAUAAAUAAAUUUAUAAAUUCUUGCUGAUCA